rnacentral:rRNA from 1 species
AUUGAACGCUGGCGGCAGGCCUAACACAUGCAAGUCGAACGAGUGGCGGACGGGUGAGUAAUGUAUGGGAAACUGCCUGAUGGAGGGGGAUAACUACUGGAAACGGUAGCUAAUACGGCAUACCAUCGGAUGUGCCCAGAUGGGAUUAGCUAGUAGGUGGGGUAAAGGCACACCUAGGCGACGAUCCCUAGCUGGUCUGAGAGGAUGACCGGCCAACCUGGAACGGAGACACGGCCCAGACUCCUACGGGUGGCAGCAGUGGGGAAUAUUGCCCAAUGGGCUCAAGCCUGAUCUAGCCAUGCCGCGUGUAUGAAGAAGGCUUUCGGGUUGUAAAUUUCUUUCAGCGGUGAGGCGGUACCCGCAGAGGAAGCCCCGGCUAACUCCGUGCCAGCCGCCGCGGUAAUUC